GCCUCUGUGUGGUGUGGGGAGAAGCUGGUCCUCCGUGUGCUCCUAUAGCGCUACUGCCUCACCCUCACCCCCUAGGGCUGGAUCCAAAGAAGCCUCAAUCCCCAACCCUUAGAGCAUUAGCCGGGAAGGCUUCCUACCCCCCCACUUCAGAAGCAGGACUCCUCUCCCCCCUUUCCCCUCCAGAGACAGAAACUUAGGGUUUUUCCUCUUUCUCUUAGGGUCAGAAGCCAGAAAGGGCUCCCCUUCCACUUCUAGAGGGGCGAAAGCUUCGCCUCCCUUUCCUCAGGGGCACAGAUCCUUACUCUACCGUACUUCCGAGCUAACGGCUUUGCCUCGGCACCGCCACUCGAGAGGCAGCACCUAGAGGACUAGUCGCCUUUGCCGCUCCGCAGGCGCGACCUUUUGCAGAGGAGGGAGGGGUGCAGAGGCUAGCAGCCCGCGCCCUCCCCUCCCCCACUCGUUCCUCUUGCACCUGGUCCCUGGCACCCCAGAGUUCCCCAUACCUAGGUCUUUCCACCUAUCCACUCCCUGACCUUUUCCUGUCUCCUGGCUGUAGCCAUGGAGUUACCGAAGGGAAAGGGAGCAGCAGCAGCAGCUGCUCCGGGAGCAGCGGGAGGUGGAGGAGGAGGAGCGGGAGCAGGAGCCCCAGGAGGGGGGAGGCUGCUACUUUCAACCAGUUUGGAUGCCAAGGAUGAGUUAGAGGAGAGACUGGAAAGGUGUAUGAGCAUUGUGACGUCAAUGACGACUGGUGUCUCCGAAAGAGAGGCCAAUGAUGCCCUCAAUGCCUAUGUAUGUAAAGGUCCCCCCCAGCAUGAGGAAAUCUGCUUGGGUCUGUUUACUCUUGUCCUCACUGAACCUGCCCAAGCUCAGAAGUGUUACCGGGACUUGGCUCUGGUGAGUCGUGAUGGCAUGAAUAUUGUCUUGAAUAAAAUCAACCAGAUACUUAUGGAGAAGUACCUGAAGUUGCAGGAUACCUGCCGUACUCAGUUGGUGUGGUUGGUACGGGAACUAGUGAAGAGUGGGGUUCUGGGAGCUGAUGGUGUUUGCAUGACAUUUAUGAAGCAGAUUGCAGGUGGAGAUGUUACAGCCAAAAAUAUCUGGUUGGCAGAAAGUGUUCUGGAUAUCCUGACGGAGCAGAGUAUCUUCCCUUCCUGCAGGGAGUGGGUGCUGAAGAGUAGCAUCCUCAUUGCCAUGGCUGUUUAUACAUACCUCCGCCUCAUCGUGGACCACCAUGGGACGGCCCAGCUCCAGGCCCUGAGACAGAAAGAAGUGGACUUCUGUAUCUCACUGCUUCGGGAACGGUUCAUGGAAUGUUUGAUGAUUGGUCGGGACCUUGUGAGACUACUUCAGAAUGUUGCUAGGAUACCAGAAUUUGAACUGCUUUGGAAAGAUAUAAUUCAUAACCCUCAGGCCUUGAGUCCUCAGUUCACAGGUAUUCUACAGCUUCUUCAAUCAAGAACAUCCCGAAAAUUCCUAGCAUGUCGACUAACUCCAGACAUGGAGACAAAGCUCCUCUUCAUGACAUCUCGGGUGCGAUUUGGUCAGCAAAAGCGAUACCAAGAUUGGUUCCAGCGCCAGUACCUGUCAACCCCAGACAGUCAGUCUUUACGCUGUGACCUCAUUCGAUAUAUCUGUGGAGUAGUCCACCCUUCUAAUGAAGUACUGAGUUCGGAUAUCUUGCCCCGAUGGGCCAUCAUUGGUUGGCUCCUAACAACAUGCACAUCAAAUGUUGCUGCUUCUAAUGCCAAACUGGCUUUGUUUUACGACUGGCUGUUCUUUAGUCCAGACAAGGAUAGCAUUAUGAACAUAGAGCCAGCCAUCCUGGUCAUGCAUCACUCCAUGAAGCCCCACCCAGCCAUCACUGCCACACUCCUGGACUUCAUGUGCCGUAUCAUUCCUAACUUCUAUCCACCAUUGGAGGGCCAUGUGCGACAGGGUGUCUUUUCCUCCCUCAACCACAUUGUGGAAAAGCGGGUGUUGGCACACUUGGCUCCUCUGUUUGACAACCCAAAAUUGGAUAAAGAGCUGAGGGCCAUGCUUCGAGAGAAAUUUCCUGAGUUCUGCAGCUCACCCUCCCCACCUGUGGAAGUCAAAAUUGAGGAACCAGUUUCCAUGGAGAUGGACAACCACAUGUCAGAUAAGGAUGAAAGUUGCUAUGAAAACGCAGAGGCAGCCUUCAGUGAUGAUGAGGAGGAUCUCAAUAGCAAAGGAAAGAAGAGAGAGUUUCGCUUCCACCCCAUCAAGGAAACGGUUGUGGAGGAGCCAGUCGAUAUCACUCCUUACCUUGACCAGCUGGAUGAGUCUCUAAGGGACAAAGUGCUCCAGCUACAGAAGGGAAGUGAUACGGAGGCCCAGUGUGAGGUCAUGCAGGAAAUCGUGGACCAGGUCCUGGAGGAAGACUUUGACUCGGAGCAGCUGUCUGUCCUUGCUUCCUGCCUACAGGAGCUCUUCAAGGCCCAUUUCCGAGGGGAGGUGCUACCUGAGGAGGUCACUGAGGAAUCCCUGGAGGAGUCUGUAGGGAAGCCUCUCUACCUAAUAUUUAGGAACCUAUGCCAGAUGCAGGAAGAUAACAGCAGUUUCUCUUUGCUUCUGGACCUUCUCUCUGAGCUAUAUCAAAAGCAGCCCAAGAUAGGCUACCAUCUGCUUUACUACCUGAGGGCCAGCAAAGCUGCCGCAGGGAAGAUGAACCUGUAUGAGUCAUUUGCCCAAGCCACUCAGCUGGGUGAUCUGCACACCUGCCUAAUGAUGGAUAUGAAGGCGUGCCAGGAAGACGAUGUGCGGCUGCUGUGCCACCUCACGCCCUCCAUCUACACAGAGUUUCCAGAUGAAACCUUGAGAAGUGGAGAGCUGUUGAACAUGAUUGUGGCUGUUAUUGACUCUGCACAGCUUCAGGAGCUAGUCUGCCAUGUGAUGAUGGGGAACCUGGUCAUGUUUCGAAAAGACUCCGUCCUCAACAUACUCAUUCAGAGCCUGGACUGGGAAACCUUUGAGCAGUAUUGUGCCUGGCAGCUCUUCCUGGCCCACAACAUCCCCCUGGAGACUAUAAUCCCCAUCCUGCAGCACCUCAAAUACAAGGAGCACCCAGAAGCCCUGUCCUGCCUACUGCUUCAGCUCCGAAGAGAGAAGCCCAGUGAGGAAAUGGUAAAGAUGGUGCUGAGCCGGCCCUGCCACCCAGACGACCAGUUCACUACUAGCAUCCUGAGGCACUGGUGCAUGAAGCAUGACGAGCUGCUGGCCGAGCACAUCAAGUCCCUGCUCAUCAAGAACAACAGCCUCCCUCGAAAAAGGCAGAGCCUGAGAAGCUCCAGCAGCAAGCUGGCCCAGUUGACUCUGGAGCAGAUCCUGGAGCACUUGGACAACUUGCGGCUCAACCUGACCAACACCAAGCAGAACUUUUUUAGCCAGACCCCAAUCCUACAGGCACUGCAGCAUGUCCAGGCGAGCUGUGAUGAAGCCCACAAGAUGAAAUUCAGUGAUCUCUUCUCCCUGGCGGAGGAAUAUGAGGACUCUUCCACUAAGCCACCCAAGAGCCGGAGAAAGGCAGCUCUGUCCAGUCCUCGAAGUCGAAAGAAUGCCACUCAGCCACCCAAUGCUGAGGAAGAGUCUGGCUCCAGCAGCGCCUCUGAGGAGGAAGACACAAAACCAAAGCCCACCAAGCGGAAACGAAAAGGAUCCUCUGCAGUGGGUUCCGACAGUGACUGAGGCCCUGUGUUCCCAUCCCACCAAGCUGGACUGCCCUCUCCUCCCUGAUGAACCCAAGGCUCCUCCUCCAGUCUCCAAAGAACCAUUUGGACAGAGAGGGAAAUGUUGGGCAGAGAAUCUGGGAUGAAAGCAGAUGCUCAGUGUGUGAGUAUCCCUUCUGCUCCCCCCUCAGUCUUGAUUUGCUCCGAACAGACGUUCUGUAGUCACUGUGCACAUGACAGUGUGAAACAGGCACCUCACCUGGCAUGGUCAGUGCCUAUCCACACAGAUGCCACAAGCCUUCAGGAAGGAACCUGACAGGGUGAUUCCCAGCACCACAUGUUGUGCCCAGAAGCUUGGGUUGGCCUGAGGUUGACACCUCAAGCUGGGCCAGAGCCCAGGGGAGUCCCAGAGGCAAGUCCCUCAGAACUGUCAAAUGGUCCAUUUCCUUGGUUCUGUUUUUGCUUUUUUUUUUUUUUUGGCAGAGAUAAUCGAGUUUUAAAAGUUGUUUUUAAAUGACAAUAAAGCAAGCCAGAAAGUCUUUUGUGCAAGAGUUGCCAUCUACCCUUACCUGUGUGUGUACAGGUGGUCUCAGUUUAAUUGAUACUGCUCCUUGAGGCUUCCCAACUGCCUGCCUUUUGUCUGUAGCAGGAGAGACUUGGCUUUGCCCUCCCCCAAAUCCUUCCCACUACCAGUGGAGGUGUGAGCCAGGCACUGACCUGUCCCUGGGGAAACUGAUUGCCCUGUAGGCAGAUGUCUAUCUUUGCCCAUUGCUUAUCAAGAAACUGCUCCUCCAAAAGUUAGUAUUUGUCCAGCUCACUCCAGUUUAUUAAGUCUGCUUGCUUACCAACUGCUCAGCAAGGAGGGAGCUUCACCUUGUGUUUAGAAGGAAAAAAGUGUGUCUGGGGGGGAGACCCUUUUCCAGUCUGGCCACUUGUUGGUUCCCGAGUACCCCCAGAAGAAUUCCUUGGCUGUGCUUUUUGUUCCCCUCCUGUCCAGAGAGAUUGGAGACCUGCUGAGGAGAGAGGAGUGAGUUGGGCUCAAUGCAGAUAGCUCCUUUCAUUCAGCCUGCACUGCUACCUGUUUAGCGAGCCAGGCUCUCCACAACUUCAAAGCUGCUACUCCUUUGAAAACCUAAACUAUCAGAGGCCCCUUUUUCCUUCCUUUCUCCUUCCCCAGUUUCCACUGCCUCAAUUAAAGCCAGCAUGGAUGGAUGGCCCAAUUACUGUACCCUUGCCCAAAGGGUGGGACUUCCGUCAUGGCCCUGCAGAAAUCUAGCAGUCUGGGCCUCCAUCUUUCCCCUACUUAACUCUGGGGCCCCCACCCACCUCCUGGAGGUACUACUGCUGCUGGGAGCUGGAGGGAACGCAUGGGUCUAGCUGUCAUGCUGGGACUUGCAGAACCGAUGGGCCAGGGGCCAAGUUUUUCAGUUUCCUUUGAGAGAAAGCAAAAGAAACCCUCCUAUCACGGGUGAAAAUGAAAACUUGAGGGAAAGAUGGACUGCGGCCCAAAUGCCCUGGCUCUUAGACCGGUACACCACAGUCCAGCCAGAAGCCUAAACCUCCCAAGAGGAGAAAACUCAAAGCGGGACGUGCACGACCCUGGGAUUGAGAAAAGGCUUCAGCACGCCCAAGACAUGACAAGAGUGCAGGCCGCGAGC